UCCCAAUGAACUGACAGGUGCACGUGGUCCGGGAACGUGGGGCGAAUGUCUGCGGCGGCGAGAAAAUUACUCCAUUCGGUCUGAACAAAGGCUUGGUAACCUCCCUGAAGACGGGGACCCUUGCCCCACUGCUGUGUCGCCAGUGCCUCCUUGACUGUGGUGCGCGUAUCGCGUGAAGGUGCUUCAUGUUCACUGAAUGAAUACGAGAGAGAGACAGAGCAUGAACGGGGGAGGGGCAGAGAGAGAGGGAGAC